CACGUAGGGGGCAAGCGUUGUCCGGAUUUAUUGGGCGUAAAGAGCUCGUAGGCGGCUUAGUAAGUCGGGUGUGAAACCUCCAGGCUCAACCUGGAGACGCCACCCGAUACUGCUGUGGCUAGGGUCCGGUAGGGGAGCGUGGAAUUCCUGGUGUAGCGGUGAAAUGCGCAGAUAUCAGGAGGAACACCAGCGGCGAAGGCGGCGCUCUGGGCCGGUACUGACGCUGAGGAGCGAAAGCGUGGGGAGCAAACAGG
rnacentral:rRNA from 1 species